rnacentral:rRNA from 2 species
AAAUUGAAGAGUUUGAUCAUGGCUCAGAUUGAACGCUGGCGGCAGGCCUAACACAUGCAAGUCGAACGGUAACAGGAAGCAGCUUGCUGCUUCGCUGACGAGUGGCGGACGGGUGAGUAAUGUCUGGGAAACUGCCUGAUGGAGGGGGAUAACUACUGGAAACGGUGGCUAAUACCGCAUAAUGUCGCAAGACCAAAGAGGGGGACCUUCGGGCCUCUUGCCAUCAGAUGUGCCCAGAUGGGAUUAGCUUGUUGGUGAGGUAAC